rnacentral:rRNA from 1 species
GUGGGGAAUUUUGGACAAUGGGCGCAAGCCUGAUCCAGCAAUGCCGCGUGCAGGAAGAAGGCCUUCGGGUUGUAAACUGCUUUUGUACGGAACGAAACGGUCCGGGUUAAUACCCUGGGCUAAUGACGGUACCGUAAGAAUAAGCACCGGCUAACUACGUGCCAGCAGCCGCGGUAAUAUGUAGGGUGCAAGCGUUAAUCGGAAUUACUGGGCGUAAAGCGUGCGCAGGCGGUUUUGUAAGACAGGCGUGAAAUCCCCGGGCUCAACCUGGGAAUUGCGCUUGUGACUGCAAGGCUGGAGUGCGGCAGAGGGGGAUGGAAUUCCGCGUGUAGCAGUGAAAUGCGUAGAUAUGCGGAGGAACACCGAUGGCGAAGGCAAUCCCCUGGGCCUGCACUGACGCUCAUGCACGAAAGCGUGGGGAGCAAACAGGAUUAGAUACCCUGGUAGUCC